CCAAUAGCGUAUAUUAAAGUUGUUGCAGUUAAAAAGCUCGUAGUUGAACUUCGGGGUUUACCCAUUGGUCAGGCUUAAUUGUCUGUACUGGUGAGAUAAAUCUCUACCUUCUGAGGAACUUUCAUGUCAUUAAUUUGGUGUGAUUGGAAAUCAGGACUGUUACUUUGAAAAAAUUAGAGUGUUUAAAGCAGGCUAACGUCUGAAUACAUUAGCAUGGAAUAAUGAAAUAGGACGGACUGAUUCUAUUUCGUUGGUUUCUAGGAUCACCGUAAUGAUUAAUAGGGAUAGUUGGGGGCAUUAGUAUUCAAUUGUCAGAGGUGAAAUUCUUGGAUUUAUUGAAGACUAACUACUGCGAAAGUAUUUGCCAAGGAUGUUUUCAUUAAUCAAGAACGAAAGUUAGGGGAUCGAAGACGAUCAGAUACCGUCGUAGUCUUAACCAUAAACUAUGCCGACUAGGGAUCGGACGAAGUUAAUUUUAUAAUGACGCGUUCGGCACCUUACG
rnacentral:misc_RNA from 1 species